rnacentral:rRNA from 1 species
AGAGUUUGAUCCUGGCUCAGAUUGAACGCUGGCGGCGUGCUUAACACAUGCAAGUCGAACGCGAAAGGGGGCUUCGGCUCCCGAGUAGAGUGGCGCACGGGUGAGUAACGCGUGGAUAAUCUGCCCUCUUGUUCGGGAUAACUGCUGGAAACGGCAGCUAAUACCGGAUAAGCUCCCCCAAUUGUUUGGUGGAGGAAAGGAGGCCUCUUCAUGAAAGCUUCCGCGAGGGGAUGAGUCCGCGUCCCAUUAGCUAGUUGGUGAGGUAACGGCCCACCAAGGCAACGAUGGGUAGCCGGUCUAAGAGGAUAACCGGCCACACUGGAACUGAAACACGGUCCAGACUCCUACGGGAGGCAGCAGUGGGGAAUAUUGCGCAAUGGACGAAAGUCUGACGCAGCGACGCCGCGUGAGGGAUGAAGGUUUUCGGAUCGUAAACCUCUGUCAGGAGGGAAGAAAGCGCAUGGCGCCAAUCAGCCAUGCGUUGACGGUACCUCCAAAGGAAGCGCCGGCUAACUCCGUGCCAGCAGCCGCGGUAAUACGGAGGGCGCGAGCGUUAAUCGGAAUUACUGGGCGUAAAGCGCGCGUAGGCUGUUGUGUAAGUUGGGGGUGAAAUCCCACGGCUCAACCGUGGAACAGCCCUUGAUACUGCGCGACUUGAAUCCGGGAGAGGGUGGCGGAAUUCCAGGUGUAGGAGUGAAAUCCGUAGAUAUCUGGAGGAACAUCAGUGGCGAAGGCGGCCACCUGGACCGGUAUUGACGCUGAGGCGCGAAAGCGUGGGGAGCAAACAGGAUUAGAUACCCUGGUAGUCCACGCUGUAAACGAUGGAUGCUGGAUG